rnacentral:lncRNA from 1 species
UUUGAUUGAGAUAGAACUGUUUUCUUCAGGUCUUCAAACAUAUCAAACAUUUCAUCAUAUUUCCUUUUUAAAAUUUGAUUAUCCUGUAAAAUAUUUAAGAUUCAUUUAUAUUUAUGUAUUACUUUAAAAUUUUAUUGACUUUCAUACUUAUACCUCCAUGAGCUUUUCCAUUCGAUCGUUCAUUUUUUCUUUUCCUUUUUCUUUUUCUUUGUCUUUGUCGAUAGAUCUUGCAUUCAUUUCAAUUGAAAAUCUGGUAGAAGCAGUGCUCGACUCAGCAAAUGAUCCUCC